AUAGUGAGAACCUCUAUAGCCCUAUAGAGCUUUUUAUGCUAAGACUAGUAACAAGAGGUAGCCCACUCUCCUAAAUGCAAAUUUAAUCCAGCAAGAACCAAUCACUGGUAUUUAACGGAACAGGCAAGUUAGAAACUCAUACUAGAAAACCCUAGCAACCCCCCCCCCGUUAACCUAACACUAGAGCAUUACUGGAAAGAUUAAAAGAAAAAGAAGGAACUCGGCAAACAAUGGCCUCGCCUGUUUACCAAAAACAUCGCCUCUUGUUACCCCUAAGAGGUCCCGCCUGCCCAGUGACUCUGUUCAACGGCCGCGGUAUCCUAACCGUGCAAAGGUAGCGUAAUCACUUGUCUUUUAAAUAAAGACUAGUAUGAAAGGCGCCACGAGGGCUAAGCUGUCUCCUUUUUCUAAUCAGUGAAUCUGAUCCCCCUGUGAAGAAGCAGGGAUAUUCGUAUAAGACGAGAAGACCCUAUGGAGCUUAAAACACCACAACACCUGCUGACUUUUAGAGUACUAGACUCAUCACCCACACAGCACACUGAUUGUGAGUUUUUGGUUGGGGUGACCGCGGAGAAUAACUAAUCCUCCACAGCGAAUGGGGAUUUCCUUAAACAAUAAGUUACAACUUUAUGUAUCAAUAAAUUGACACCCAUUGACCCAAUACACUUGAUCAACGAACCAAGUUACCCUAGGGAUAACAGCGCAAUCCACUUUAAGAGCUCCUAUCGACAAGUGGGCUUACGACCUCGAUGUUGGAUCGGGAUAUCCUAGUGGUGUAGUCGCUACU
rnacentral:rRNA from 1 species